UGGUGGGUUGCCUUGUCAGGUUGAUUCCGGUAACGAACGAGACCUCAACCUGCUAAAUAGUCACGAUCGAUUUUUUCGGUUGGCCGACUUCUUAGAGGGACUGUUGGCGACUAGCCAAUGGAAGUUUGAGGCAAUAACA
rnacentral:rRNA from 1 species